GGCUAGACAGAAAGACCUGUCUGCAAAAAAAUGGGGAGAGGAGGGACUAAAAAGAUGGCUCAGCUGUUAUGAGCACUAAGCUCUUAAUAAGGCCCAGCGUUUAGAUCCUAGCACCCAUGUAACAAGCCAGGUUGCUGCAAUCUGUAAAUACCUAUAACUAGGUCUAAAGGUUCCAGUGCUAUAUUCUGGCUUCCACACACAUUCAGAAAUGUGCAUAUAGACAAUACUAACACAUAAGAAAGUUUAGAUACAGAGGAAAAGUCUUCAUCAGAAUAUGCUUAAGGUAGAGUUACCCUUAGGACUCUACAAGGAAAGAGACCAGUGUUAUAUAAUCAACUGUUAGGACCAUAAUGGCCAAGUUACUUCACUUGCAGUCAGUGGUGAUUUCCGGUAUUUUAUUUAACAUGAUACAAGGAUACUGUGGACAAUACCAAACAAAGCAGGAAUUGGGCUUUCUGCUGAAAGUAUUGAAUAUAAUGUUGGACCUACGACCAACAUGACAUGGUAAAGAGUUAAAAGAAAUGCUUUCUUAUAUUGUUUUUGACAGACAGGAAACUUAUUAGAGUCUUACUACCUGAGGUUUAGCACACGUUCAAGUUUGUGUUGUAUUAGAAGUUACAAGCCUUUCUUUUCAGGAUGAUCCUGAGAGACUCCCUGGUGCUGCACAAGUCUGUUUCAUGAUGUAAUAAGUUCUUGAGAAUUCUUAAGUCCAAAGAUCUUGCUCCUGAUUGUCCUGAAGAUCUCUACAUUUAACUAAGAAAGCAGUUGCUGUUCCCAAGCCUCUGAGAUGAACAGAAAGGACAUGGAUGCUAAAUUCUACCUGAUUCUCAUAGAGCCGGAUUCACCGAUUGGCUCCUUAUUAUAAGCUUAAGUGGGUCUUUCCAUCCAACUGGAAAUAUGAGUCUUCCUCAGCCUCUGCUCUGAUGGCAUAAAUUUGCCUUCUAUACUUAAACAAUAAAAUCACUUUAAAUUAAAAAAAAAAAGUAGAACCAGAGCUUUAAAAUAAUAAUCAGGCAUAAAGUAUACAGAUCCUGAGGCAUCACAGAUAGGUAGUAAUUUAAAUUAGGAGAAAUUGGGACUGGAGAAUUAGUUCUGCCUAUAAGAGCACUAGUUACUCUUGAAGAGGACCCAGGUUCUAUCGCCAGCACCCAUAUGGCAGAUCACAACCGUCUAUAACUCUAGUCUCAAGAGAUCCAAUGCCCUUUCUGACCUCCAUGGGUCCUAAGCAUGCUUUUGGCAAAUAUGCGUAUAUGCAGGCAAAACACUCUUACACAUAAAGUAAUAAAAUCU
rnacentral:lncRNA from 1 species